UNUGAGACAAUGUAGCAGAAUACCAGGCA
rnacentral:piRNA from 1 species